CUGGAUAAUUGCUGGCAAAUUUAUUUGCUAGAGGAAAGUCCAUGCUCGCACAGCCUGUGAUGGCUGUAGUGUUUGUGCUAAAGGAAAAAAUAACUUUAGGUAGGUGGGAGCACCUAACGGCAAAGUGAAACCUAAGUCGUUGAUAUGGUCUAACUUUUGAAAGUGCCACAGUGACGUAGUUUACUCGAAAGAGUAAAGUGGAACGCGGUAAACCCCUCAAGCGAGAAACCUAAAUUUGGUAAGGGAAGUUGAAGUGGAAAAUAAGAAUCUAACUUCAGCAUGCGAAAGCAUAGAUAAAUAAUUAUCCUUGACAAAACAUGGCUUACAG
rnacentral:RNase_P_RNA from 1 species